rnacentral:rRNA from 1 species
AACGCGAAGAACCUUACCUGGGCUCGAAAUGUUAUGGACCGGGGUAGAAAUAUCCCUUCCCAGCAAUGGGCCGUAAUAUAGGUGCUGCAUGGCUGUCGUCAGCUCGUGUCGUGAGAUGUUGGGUUAAGUCCCGCAACGAGCGCAACCCUUAUCCCCAGUUGCCAUCAUUAAGUUGGGCACUCUGGUGAAACCGCCUCGGAUAACGGGGAGGAAGGUGGGGAUGACGUCAAGUCCUCAUGGCCUUUAUGUCCAGGGCUACACACGUGCUACAAUGGCCGGUACAAACCGUCGCAAACCCGCGAGGGGGAGCUAAUCGGAAAAAGCCGGCCUCAGUUCGGAUCGCAGUCUGCAACUCGACUGCGUGAAGCUGGAAUCGCUAGUAAUCGCGGAUCAGAAUGCCGCGGUGAAUACGUUCCCGGGCCUUGUACACACCGCUCGCGA